rnacentral:lncRNA from 1 species
AUUUAAAUACCGAAUUUUCACAAAUUAGCCAAAAAGUACAGAUUUUUCAUUAAUCCAAGUAAAUCACAAACUUAUAUUGACUUAGCCAUAUAAGAUACACUUUUGGUCAACUGUUUGUGGCGUUAAAUCUCCGUCUAAUGUUCACGGAGAUCCUUACGUCGUCGUUUUAAAAAUAGAACAUAAUUUACAAAAUCCCCAACUCUGCAAAUCGAAUUCACCUCUUACUCUAUUCUCUGCAACUUGAUUUCAUCUUCUCUGUGAGUGUAAAACCACAAAUCGAUUCUUCUUUAUAUGAUGAGACGCCAAAAGUUUUCUAUACAUCGAGAAAGAGCUAGAGAACGUGAAACUACAACGGUUUUUGAAGAUGAUGAAAUAAGGUUGAGUGCAAUUAGCAGAGAUGGGCGUGAAUCUCAUACCCGGUGAUGAUUGUGAAACUAUCGCUGAUGAUCCUGCUGAUGAGGUCGAAGAAGAAACGAACGAGGUUGAAGAAGAAGAAGAAAAAGAAAAAGAAAGGACUGAGGUAGAAGAAGAAGAAGAGAAUGAGGAAGAAGGCGUAAGAAUUGAUGAAGACGCUUGUGAGGUUUUAUCAUCACACUUUGGAGAUGUUGCAAGGAAUGAUGAAGAAGAUAACCAUGACAGCGGAGAAGAGGAUUGCUGGACAGACAAAGUUUAAUAUACCUGUUCAUGUAUCAUGUGAUGAUGAGUCACCUAGAAUGCAUGUUUCAACCUUGAAAUCUUCACCUUGCUUUUUGUUUCAGACUUUUGUUGGAUUCCUUUUUUUUUGUUUUAUGCAAACUUACUUUUGUUAGUUUUCAAUACGUCUUUGGUGAAACAGAGACAAAAAUAAGAGGAACAAUAAGAGGAACAAUAAGACAAAAAGAUACAAGAGCUCACAUAUAAACAUAGAUUAUUUUUCUUACAAAUGAAACAAAGUUGCAGCAAUUUAAUAGAAAAAGUCUUACAAAAGAGACAAAAUAAGGCUUAAAAGAAACAGUCUGGAACGGUUUUGAGACAAAGAUACAAGAGCUUAAGAGAAUAGAUAGGCAAAAUAGUGAUUACAACCAACAUAAAACAAAAGAUUCCACAACAUGUCUCAGUGAUGAGUUUCCACUUCCUCAUCUCGAACUUUGUCGAAAUAACAUCCUCUAUUAAGUCAUCAACACCUUGUUCAAGCAAUCAACCUAGCCUUUUAUAUUGUAAAUCUCAAAUUGAAUGUUUUCAGGUUUUGGAAGUGAAAAAUCUCUUCAGGCAAUGAUUCUUCUACCCACAAACACACUUCGAUGACAAACCUCUCUUUCCAAAAUCUCGUUUUUCAAACGGAAUCAAAAUCAUCUGUUUCACUUGAUUCUAGCUUGUAAUUAGAAGAGAUGAAGCCAAGUCGCAGAGGAAACAACAAGAUUCUAAAUCGGGUUGAAGGGAAGAGAAGAAGA